AGUGACUGUGCCAGUGCACCUGCUUGAGCUAGUUAUUAUUAUUAUCUCCAUUCUAGACAAGGUCUCACUAUGUAAUUCAGGCUGGCGUUGAACUCAUUACGUAGUCCAGGCUGGGCUCAAACUUGUGGUGAUCCUCCUGCUUCAGCUUCCUGAGUACUGGGAUUACAGAUGUGCACCAUCACACCCGGCUAUCAUAAUUUUCUAUGGUAGCCCAUGCUGUAUUUCCCAGACACAACGUGUAUAUUUAUCUUUGCUCUUGCCCUCUUAUUCUCUUUACUUGGCCCAAGCUCGCUCUGCAGAGCCAAUUUCUCUCCCGCUCUUCACUUUUACUCUUUUGGAUAAACUUUGCCACUGCUUUUUUUUUUUUUUGUACCAGGGAUCGAACUCAGGACCUUCUGCUUUUGAGGUGGGCGGUGGCACCACUGAGCUAAAUCCCUGGCCCUGCCACUGCUUUUUGCUUGUUUCAUUGAAUUCUUUAUUCAAGAUGAGAAGAACCUGGAAUCCAACUCCAGAAGGACAGCCAGAUGAUUAAGAACUGAAACCUCUACAAACUGUAAGCCAAAUAGACCUUUCCCCCUUUAACUUUAGGUGUUGGGUAUUUUGUCUCAGCAAGGAGAGAAAAGUAACUAAGACAGAAUUUGGUACCAGAGAAGUGGGGUGGUUGCUGUGACAUUACCCGGCCAUGUGGCUCAAGGGCCUUUGGAACUGGCUUGUUGGAAGGGGAAGAGUUAGAACAGGUGUGGAGAUGCCAGCU
rnacentral:lncRNA from 1 species